ACAGGCCCAACCAUCCCUCAGCUCCUUUGCCAAAACCGAAUCCAUAUGGUACAGGAUGCCACAGCAGUGGAGGAGGAGGGUGGGUCAUGGAAUCCCCAUGGACAACACACCUUGAAGAACCACAGUUGCUGCAGGGUAAGUAAUUGUUCUUUCCUCUUGGUGUGCCACACUGUUUUUACUGCUGGUGAUGAGCUAAUGGUGACCUCACAGUCAGGAGGUGGGUGCUAGGAGUCUUAUUUAAAUAGUGACUGCAGCACAGCUCUACUAAAGUGGGUGUCAGAUCUUGAGGCCACAACUAUGGAAGAGUGCUGGGUGAAAAUGGGGACUGAUCCCAUGUAGCUGCCCUGUAAAUUUCUGAAAUUUGUACGCUUCUCAAAAAACCCAGCAGAAGCUGCCUGUGACCUGGUGAAAUGGGAUCUAACCUGCAUGAGCGGAUCUAAUCUAGCUAAUUUAUGGCAUGUUUUGAUACAAUUAAAUACCCAGCUUUGGGUAGAUAUUGCCUGAUUCUUGCAUUCUAGCUACAAAUGCUACAAGCAGACUGGGGGAGUUCCUGAAUCGUCUUGUUCUGCCAAGAUAAUAUGAGAGAGCCCUAAGUAUGCCAACAGUGUGCAGUCUGGCUUGCCUUUAGUUAGAGAGGGGCUUGGGAAAGAAAUCUGGCAGAUGAACUAUCUAAUUUAAAUGAACAUUUGAGACUUUUUUUUGUGUGAAAACAGAGUGGGGCCUAGAGGGUCACUGUCUUUAUGGAUUACUGGUGAGGUGGACCAGCCAUGAAGGCCUGAAUUUCCCCCACGCUUCGAGCUGCUGUUAUAGCUACUAAAAACAGCUGUUUUCAUAGACAGUAUAUGGAGCAAGUUGCUACGGGCGCAAAAUGAGGUCCCAUUAACCAGGCUAAAACUAUACUGAGGUCCCAGAAAGAAGGGCCCCAGACUGAGAAACACAUGAAUGAGGCCCUUGAGGAAUCUAGCAAUUUGUAGGAUUAGAAAAUAUGCUAUGACCUUGGACAGGAGGAUGAUGUGCUGAUACUUCUGCUAACUGUACUCUUAAAGAGCUUAAGGAACAGCCCUGAAUGCUUAUUGAUAGCAGAUAGCUCAGAAUAGUACAAAUCGGGGAUUCUAUGGGAGACAAGUGACACUAUGCUGUUCAAAUUGGGACCUGCUUCCAUCUGACUGCAUAGUCAUUUUAGGAGGUGAUCCUGGAAUUUUGGACCUUUCAUGCACUCAGGACACUCAGGAAUUUGACUUAGAAAUAUGGUCAGCCUCAGGAGCACUUGAAACAAGCCUCUGCAUGGUGUACCAAGGUGAAAUGAUCAUGUAUGCUGUGGUUAGAUGCAUCUUCCACAAGAAAGCCAGUAUUCACUUCUAUCUACUGAUAAUGCACUGGUCAUAAUGACACAGAAACUGAAUUUUGAUUUGGCAUGUCAAUGCUGAUAAAAACAACUUUGCACACCCUUAUGACCAGGAGACAAUGUGCUUUGCUUGGAAUAUCUUUCGAGUUGGAUUGCAAUGGGUUGGUGGUCACUUGCUUGGGCUUCCGAGAUAGGCAUCUAUUGCUGCUCAUACAGUAGUGACAGCAAAUAUAAGAUUACCCCAGCUGAGUGAGGGCAAUAUCACAGAGCAAUGCUCAUAAGGUUGAAUUAAUCCCCGGUGUAACUCCAUUAAUUUAAAUGAAGUUACAUCAGGGAUGAGUUUGGUCCAUUUCUGCAUUCUGAGUUCCUGGGUUGACCCCUACACCCUCAGCCUCUACCCUCCCAUUAGGAGGGAGGUGACCACAAGACCAUUGCAUCAGACCCACCACUCUCUUCCAGUACCUCCAGGGAUGAAAACGGAAGAUCUUCAGCUUCCCUUCUUUUGAUCUAUAGCAGGGGUGGCCAAACUGUGGCUCGCAAGCCACAUGUGAGCCACACUUUAAUGGUAAAAGAGCGCA